rnacentral:rRNA from 1 species
UGGGGAAUAUUGCACAAUGGGCGCAAGCCUGAUGCAGCCAUGCCGCGUGUGUGAAGAAGGCCUUCGGGUUGUAAAGCACUUUCAGCGGGGAGGAAGGCGAUAAGGUUAAUAACCUUGUCGAUUGACGUUACCCGCAGCAGAAGCACCGGCUAACUCCGUGCCAGCAGCCGCGGUAAUACGGAGGGUGCAAGCGUUAAUCGGAAUUACUGGGCGUAAAGCGCACGCAGGCGGUCUGUCAAGUCGGAUGUGAAAUCCCCGGGCUCAACCUGGGAACUGCAUUCGAAACUGGCAGGCUAGAGUCUUGUAGAGGGGGGUAGAAUUCCAGGUGUAGCGGUGAAAUGCGUAGAGAUCUGGAGGAAUACCGGUGGCGAAGGCGGCCCCCUGGACAAAGACUGACGCUCAGGUGCGAAAGCGUGGGGAGCAAACAGG